rnacentral:tRNA from 1 species
GUAGAUAUGGAUUAGUGGUUAAAUCAGUGGGAUGUCUCCCCACCAACGCCGGUUCGAAUCCGGUUAUCUACC